GUCUGAGUGAUCGAGUCCAGCGUGGGCUACUUAGUAGGAUCCCGCUUCAAAUUUUAAAAAGAAAAAAAAAAUUGACAGUGUCUCACCCUGCUCCAGGCUGGCCUCAAGCUGAGAUCCUCCUGCCUCAGCCUCCUGAGCACCUAGAUGACAGGGUCUCCUACUCCUGGUGAUCCUCCUGCCUCAGCCUCUGGAGUGCGCAUCUUUUAGAUUAGAUCUGAGUACCAAAAAGCAGCAAGACUCCCUGAUCCAAUUUGUUCAUGUGGUCACUGAGCUUCUGGGGCUAUCCCGGCCCACGGGAUGGAAAGUUCUCAUUGGGAAAGUCCCGAGCCCCUGGGCUCGCUCACUUGCUUCCAAGGGACAGAUCGGAACAUGGGAGCAUACUCCUUGA